CAACAGGUAGGGUCAGCGGGAACGACGAAGCAGUGAGGAAGCCGGUGCGAAUCCGGCGCGGUCCCGCCACUGUCACCGGGUCGGUGUCAAUCGACGCAGCGGCCCGGGAGCCAGACACUUCUGCUCGUCGCGUACCUG
rnacentral:ncRNA from 1 species